AUACUUACCAGGCACAGGAGAUACCGUGACACGAAAGGCGGUUUCCAGGGUGAGGCUCACCAAUUGCACUCCGGUGGCGCUGACCCCUGCGAUAAACCAUAUGUGGUUAACUCGAGUGUGCAAAUUUUUGGUAGCGGGGGACGCUUCGCGCUAACCCCCU
rnacentral:snRNA from 1 species